rnacentral:tRNA from 1 species
UGCGUCAUAUUUCGCGAAAAAUAAGGAAUCAUAAUCCUGGGGUCGGGGGUUCAAGUCCCUCUCCCGCUACCA